UGUUUGUUUUCAUGAUCAAAAUGAAAGAUCAAGUGGCCGAUCUUAAAAUAAAUCAAUAUCGAUUUUUUUAUUUAUUAAGUUUUGCGACGCAAGGGGGCGUGGUUACCUGAUUGACAGUUCGUCUGGAAUGACUGACAGUCUGGAGGAUUAAUUCUGAUAUGGUCACUGGUGGUUUAUCGGUGAAGAAGCAGAACCUUUUCCACAGACACUUUUCCUGCCUGUUGGCUUGUUUUAACCAUUUUGCUACCUUCGGCUGAUUCUACCAGCAGACACUGAAACUUCGGUGUCUCAUGUUCACUGUGAGGAUCUUCUGAGUGAAGCCAACAGAAGGAAAACCUCAUCUGGUUGUGAAGGAGACUGAAUGGACGACAUCCUCAGUGAACCACUUCCUGUUUAACUUUCACUGACAGAAGGACAGACCAACUCUUUCAGCAGUUUAUUAUUCUCUGUUCUUAGUAUUCACAGAUUCUAUUUAUCACCUUUAACUUCAUCUCUGCUGCUGUAGCAGAAAUACAACAAGGUUUCUGCAGAACAUUAAUAGUCAUUAAGUUGAUUUUGCAGAAAUUAAGGCCUUAAAUGACAUUAAAAAUCAUUAAAUUUGAUUCUCGGUGGCAUUAAAAUUUCUUUCUGCAGUUUUCAAGAAAAUAAUUGACAAUAAUAUAUAUUUAUAGACUGCGAUUUGUCAGAUAUGUCCAUCUGCGUAAACAUGCCAAAGCAUUGAGAUAAUUGUUCCAGCCGGGUGGGUACAAUUUCUAAAAACUGCAUGUUUUUAAAGUGGCUGGCAGGCUGGACCAGGCUGGGAAAUGGGGAAACACAAAUUCUAGCAAAAAUGGCUGAAAAACGUGGAUUUCAGAGAAUGACUGCAGCCCGUUGGUGUUCAGGGGUGGUUCCCAGAUUCAGAAAUAGUCAAAUGUAGGGUUUUCAUAUAAAAAUCAUCUUUUACAAAAAAAAAAUAACAAACCCGUGUAAUUUGAGUUCAUGGUC